rnacentral:tRNA from 1 species
GAGGGUGUAGCUCAGUGGUAGAGGGCAUGCUUAGCAUGCACGAGGUCCUGGGUUCAAUCCCCAGUACCUCUU